GUUGCCUGGACUGCUAAAAGAGGAAGAGUUGGUGUCUGGGUAUUAUUGCAUCAGAACCUUGUCACAGAAGCACUAGCAUCGUCACAUUUCCCAGAGAUAUUCCCUGUAACAGUUCCACUGGUACUGGAAAAGUCAGCAGACAAUGCCAGAAGUAAGGGUUGUGCAGAUUGGACAACCCUUACUAGGUUCCACAUAAGUGGGAAACUCCGUGGUCCCUGUACCGUGAAUACUGAGCUCCAUGAUAGGACAUGGUUGUGGCCCCUUGUCCACGUGAAUCCUGAAAGGGAAGCAUCUCUUUAUUGGAAAACUAGACAUUCGUCUUCCACAGAAGUGUCAAGGAAGGAGAAGAAACACAAGGGCCAUAGGUUGAAGAGCACAAUAUGGAUUCCUAGCUGGAUGUGGUGAGUACAGUACACAGUUAUUGCCUGAAGGAGGAGGAUGACUCAAGGCUCAGCUCGCCUGUGACUGGACAACCCCUAGAACUGUACUUUAUGUUCCAAAGAAUUUUUCACGUGAACCCUGUUAGUUCAACAUAAGAUUCAAGGUAUGAGUGUCAAUGGUGGACACCUCUAGUCACAGAGAUUUGGGAGGCUGAGACAGAAGGAGCACUUGAGCCCAGGAGUUCCAGGUCCACCUGGACAACACAGACCUCAUAUCAAAAAGACAAGAUUCAAAAUAUGGCCAACCUCAACAUGACACUGAAACUGAGUUUAAAAAAAAAAACACAAUACUUCUGGAAAAUUCUGCCCCAAAGCCUGGCCCACGUCCCUGUACUACCGUCUGCCUACAUACAUCUUCUGAAAUGUGUGACACUUGCCUCAUCUGCAGACAUGCAACAUCUCCCGCAGGAUGCACUUGACCUCAGGCAGGGUGGGAAGAACGGGGGAAUGUUGAGAAGAUGCCCCAGUGAUGCCAAGGUGGCAUCUUCAGACAUGUGACCCCCAAAAAUGUGACUUUGCUGUAUGUUUUGAUCACACCUUGUAUUUAUCUGUGUUUGACUUUACUGAGCCUUGGAUUAUUCGUGAGAUCUAACAUCUGCUUUGUGGUGCCCAUUCCACCAUUUUCAGACAUGCAGUAUCUGAAAGUGAGGGCUGCUCCUUGCAGUUCCCAGCCUGGGCUGCUCUUCCUGUGCAAGACCCAGAGCUCCAGCCCUGAUGUCUACAGAGGGGGUGAUCAGAAAAUACGGUGACUAUCAUAAAUUUUAAAAAAUGUAUCACAGUAAAAAACAUAUUGCCAAGGAUGAUGGGAUAUGUGUGUUCAAAGUGCGGGAAGGUGUUUGAAUAAUUUGAGGGAGGUU
rnacentral:lncRNA from 1 species